rnacentral:rRNA from 1 species
AACGAACGCUGGCGGCAUGCCUAACACAUGCAAGUCGAACGAUAUCUUCGGGUCUAGUGGCGCACGGGUGCGUAACGCGUGGGAAUCUGCCCUUUGGUUCGGAAUAACAGUUGGAAACGACUGCUAAUACCGGAUGAUGACGAAAGUCCAAGGAUUUAUCGCCAGAGGAUGAGCCCGCGUAGGAUUAGCUAGUUGGGGUGGUAAAGGCGCACCAAGGCGACGAUCCUUAGCUGGUCUGAGAGGAUGAUCAGCCACACUUGGACUGAGACACGGCCCAAACUCGGACGGGAGGCAGGAGUGGGGAAUAUUGGACAAUGGGCGAUAGCCUGAUCCAUCAAUGCCGCGUGAGUGAUGAAGGCCUUAGGGUUGUAAAGCUCUCUCAGUGGGGAAGAUAAUGACUGAGCCCACAGAAGAAGCCCCGGCUAACUCCUUGCCAGCCGCCGCAGUAA